CGUGUAGGCGGGAAUACAAGUCAGAUGUGAAAUACUGCGGCUUAACUGCAGAACGGCAUCUGAAACUGUAAUUCUUGAGUACUGGAGAGGAAAGCGGAAUUCCUAGUGUAGCGGUGAAAUGCGUAGAUAUUAGGAGGAACACCGGUGGCGAAGGCGGCUUUCUGGACAGUAACUGACGCUGAGACGCGAAAGCGUGGGGAGCAAACAGGAUUAGAUACCCUGGUAGUCC
rnacentral:rRNA from 1 species